GUGAAAGGGCUUUGCCUGCCUUUGGGAGGCAUUGUGAAUUUGUAAUUAAGCCCAGACCCUCUAAUGGGCCACCCAAGAUCACCUGUGGCUCAUGUUGGGUGGCUUGGCCUUUGUUUUCUAAGCACCCUUCUCAUGACCCACUAAGACUCUUUCUUCUCAGCACUCAGGAGUCCCUCCCGCCCCUCAUGACUCUGCACACUCCCACAGCUGUGUCCAGGCUUUGUCCCUUGCAUUAUUUCUCUGGGUUCACCAUGAUGAGGACCUCAGGCUGGGUGGCUUAAAUAUCAGAAACUUAUGCUUUCACAGUCUAGACGGCUGGAGGGCUGGGAGCAGGGUACCAGCAGGGCUGGCUCCUUGUGCAGAUGGUGAGAGGGCAUCUCCUUGCCUCUCUCUGAGCCUGUGGCAGAUCUUUGGCAUCUCUUGGCUUCCAUCUCUUCUCAGUGUUCUCCCCAUGUGUGUCUGUGUCCAGACUCCUCUCUUCAUGAGGAUGCCAGCUGUACUGGAUUGAGGCCCUGCUGUUCCAGGAUGACCCCAUCUUCUCUGACUACAUCUUCAACAACCCUGUUUCCAAAUAAGGCUACAUUCUGAGCACGGCAGGCUAGGACUACAAUGCAGGAUUUUUGGAAAUUCCAUUUAAUCCACAAGAGCCCUACUGUUGGGUUGGAGCGAUGUCUAAAAGAAACAACAGAGUGAAGUGUCACAAUACCUAUGCGUUUAAGAAGGUGCCGAGAAGUGCC
rnacentral:lncRNA from 1 species